UAGUACUGGCAUUUGCAAAGUCAUACACCUAGAACAAGGAAGACAAGCAAGAUUGAUAUAUUUUCAAGAAUACUUUUGUUACUUUUAAAGUAGUAUAGGGAUGAUAAUGGACAAGUCAACAUGAACUCCCAGGGCAGUGUUUGGUGAUGAUAAGAAUGAUUAUUCUGUUAUCCUUAGGUAUCUAAUGUGAAAUUGUGAGGAAUAGAAGAAUUUAUUUUUUUUUAAUAGCAUCAAUACUAAUGAAUUACCAUGUGCAAAUCUUACAGACCUUACUUGUUUUUCUGAUAUACAUAGAAUCCCAGCCAAUUCAUCUGGAGCCUGUGUGUGGCAUUUUCCAUGUGCCCUGUUACCUACUUCUUUGUUCAUAUUUAGUGCUCCACCUCUUAGCCCUUUUUUGCCUCCCUCUUCAGGUUAGCUUCAGUGCUGUGGGGUCUCUUGGAUUCUGUGAUCUUCUGGUGAACAGGAUAAUGCAGUGGAAGGGACUGCAGGGCAGUGUCAAUUUGUGCUUGAGUGUCGGGGAUCUGACGGCUCAGCCUGGAUGCAGCAACCUUCCCAGAGAGAUUCCACAAGAGACAGCUUUCUAGGAGUCUUAGGCAGUGCUUCAGCCACAGGGUAUCUCAGCAAGGGGCCGUCAGCUCAGCUCUCAGCAGUGGUUUCAGCUCUGCCUUGCGAGGUGUGCCCAGGCCAGCACAGGGACAAGGAGACAGGAGCGCCUGUGGCUGUUCUGCAGGGGUGCCCUUUAUUCCAGCACCUGCAAAGGAUGCCAGUGACAGCAGCUCCCUCCUGAGCAGGGCAGAAACUGGGGGUUUUAUCGGGAAAAGUGGGGGUGGUACAAAGGGGGAAAAACCAAUCGGUCCCAACAAAUCUACAUGGGGUUCCAAAGCAUGCCGGAACUCACCAUGACCCAGGAGGAUUUCUCAGUCCAUGAGAGUUUGAGAAGAACCCAUUCAAGGGAUACCUCUCUCCAAGGGAGAGGGCUGGCAUGCCCGUCUCUCUCCACAGGUGUCUUCAGUCAAAAUCUUUUUUCAAGCUUCUUUCUUGUCUUCGGUUCUUUGAAAAGUCUCAUGAUUGUUAAACAUUAGUUAAUGUCUCUCCUGUGUCCCCAGUUUCGGUCAAUAGCGCCGUCAGGAUGUGGUUCUGUUUCCACGUCUCGAGCACACCUGGAGCCCUCUACUGCUGGCAAAUGGCACCUAAGGAGCACGGUGAGACUGGGGGCACUGGCCUGUGAUAGAGGGGAACCUUUCUGCUGUGGAGAUUUCUGUGCUGAUGUGCUGGAAGAGGGAUACAGGAUUUUUACCAGGAAAUCUAUUUGUGAUGCUCUAGCACACUGUCAAAACUGGAAGACUGUGCAGUGGAUUCUUCAUAUUUGUUCAGCAUCCUUGGCUUUUUAUCUUUAUAAAAAAAUACUCUGAAUUCAUUAUGGGGAUUUAACACAGACCUUUUCACCGUUCAUGGAACUGAGCACUUCAUACACAAAGUGGGGUAUGGUAAAGGUUUCUGGUUUCAUGAUCUUGGGCUAGAUCUUGUCUAUGUGCUUUUGUGAUAAUGACAAUUAUUUUCCAGUUUCAGCUCCAAAACUGGUUUCUGUAUUUUGAAGAGAAGGUCAUUUUAGUUUCUUUCUGGAACCCUGGUUAAAUGCAUUGGCCCUGGACUGGUCAGAGGAAUUAGAACACUACUACUGAGACAUCAGAAAUGCAACCAAUGUGAAGCCCUUUUUCAGUUGUUUUUUGGAAACAUUUGUUGAAUUUCUCAUAUUGCUUCUGUCUGUUCAAUAAAAUAAUUGUCUCCAUAAUACCCA
rnacentral:lncRNA from 1 species